rnacentral:rRNA from 1 species
AACUUUUAACAACGGAUCUCUUGGCUCUCGCAUCGAUGAAGAACGCAGCGAAAUGCGAUAAGUAAUGUGAAUUGCAGAAUUCAGUGAAUCAUCGAAUCUUUGAACGCACCUUGCGCUCUCUGGUAUUCCGGGGAGCACACCUGUUCGAGUGUUAUU